AUUGAACGCUGGCGGCAUGCCUAACACAUGCAAGUCGAACGGGGUAGCAAUACCCAGUGGCGGACGGGUGAGGAAUACAUAGGAAUUUGCCUUUAGGUGGGGGAUAGCCCGGGGAAACUCGGAGUAAUACCGCAUGAUGUCGAAAGACCAAAGUAGGGGAUCGCAAGACCUUGCGCCUUUAGAGAAGCCUAUGUCUGAUUAGCUAGUUGGUAGGGUAAUGGCCUACCAAGGCGACGAUCAGUAACUGGUCUGAGAGGACGAUCAGUCACACCGGAACUGAGACACGGUCCGGACUCCUACGGGAGGCAGCAGGUGGGGAAUAUUGGACAAGUGGGCGAAAGCCUGAUCCAGCAAUGCCGCGUGUGUGAAGAAGGCC
rnacentral:rRNA from 1 species